rnacentral:rRNA from 1 species
CGCGUAGGUGGCUUGUCAGGUCUGAUGUGAAAACCUGGGGCUCAACCCCAGGCCUGCAUCGGAAACCGGCUUGCUAGAGUCUGGGAGAGGAGAGUGGAAUUCCUGGUGUAGCGGUGAAAUGCGUAGAUAUCAGGAGGAACACCGGUAGCGAAGGCGGCUCUCUGGAACAGUACUGACACUGAGGCGCGAAAGCUAGGGGAGCGAACA